rnacentral:rRNA from 1 species
GACCUUGCCUAAACUUGCUGAUCGUUCUCAUGGCAUCGGCACCACCUUAAAGGUCACAUCGCCACUUUACGCGAGAAAACAAACUUCUUGUAGUCACCGCUUCCGCCGGUGGACCUGACUAUGACUGCGACUCCACGCUUUCGCACCCCGGGAAAGGCUAAUCUAUGGGACCAUCAGGUGCGGC